rnacentral:rRNA from 1 species
UGGGGAAUAUUGCACAAUGGGGGAAACCCUGAUGCAGCGACGCCGCGUGAGCGAAGAAGGCCUUCGGGUCGUAAAGCUCUUUUAUGAGGGAAGAUAAUGACGGUACCUCAAGAAAAAGCCCCGGCUAACUACGUGCCAGCAGCCGCGGUAAUACGAAGGGGGCUAGCGUUGUUCGGAUUUACUGGGCGUAAAGCGCACGUAGGCGGACUAUUAAGUCAGGGGUGAAAUCCCGGGGCUCAACCCCGGAACUGCCUUUGAUACUGGUAGUCUUGAGUUCGAGAGAGGUGAGUGGAAUUCCGAGUGUAGAGGUGAAAUUCGUAGAUAUUCGGAGGAACACCAGUGGCGAAGGCGGCUCACUGGCUCGAUACUGACGCUGAGGUGCGAAAGCGUGGGGAGCAAACAGG